rnacentral:lncRNA from 1 species
AUGAUGGCUUCAAUUCAAACAACUUCUCCUUCAAAGGAAUCACAAAACAAUGAAAAUCUGCCACAAAUAAAACCAACAAGUUCUUGUCAGUAUGUUACUUCUUCGUCAUGUUCUGAAACUCAACAAAGUGUUGAGAGCAUGGAGCAAAGGGUCAAGAACAAUGACGAGGAAGUUCCUGAAGAAAAUAUUAAUUCAAAUGGCUUUACUACACCAAAGGCUAAGAGAUUUAGAAUACCAAAGAUAAUGUUAGAUAAUUGCCCUCCAGCUCCAAAGAGAGGUAUGGUAAAAAGGGAUUGA